rnacentral:lncRNA from 1 species
CUGUACUGCACUGUACUGUGCUUUUACCCUGAUCGCACUGGGCUGUACUGCACUGUACUGUGCUUUUACCCUGAUCUCACUGGGCUGUACUGCACCGUACUGUGCUCUUACCCUGAUCUCACUGGGCUGUACUGCACUGUACUGUGCUUUUACCCUGAUCUCACUGGGUUUUACUGCACUGUACUGUUCUUUUACCCAGAUCUCACUGAGCUUUACUGCACUGUACUGUGCUCUUACCCUGGGCAGGGGUACCUGGGGGUGUGGCAGUGGCGUAGGGGGCAGGGUUUGAUUAAGGAAUACAACACGCUGGGUUUUUCCAGUUUGCCGCUGUCCUGUUUUCAGGGGCCGUCGCUCCGGUAGAACCUGUUGCUCCCGGCUACCAGGAAGCAGAAAGAGGGGGAGGGGCCGGGAGAGUGGUGGUGGGCGGGGCAGGGCGAGCAGCUACACGCCCCCUCCCCUGCCCCCCUGUCUCAGGUGAGGAGCAGGAUCCUGCGAGACGAGAAGGCUACGCUGCCAGUCCAGCUCCUCACCCGCCUGCGCAGGAGGAGACGCUCAAGAUUGGGGUCCCGCGCGGCUGUAGCUUCUGCCUCCAUCUCCCUCGUUUUUUUCAGUCGAGCUGUGGGAUCUCAGACCCCGGAAGAAAUCAGGAGAGGGAAGAGGAGAGUGGGAAGAGAGGGAUCUGAGUCAGGCGGGGGGGGGUUGGGGGGGAGAGAGAGACGCGAGGGGAUCUCUCCGAGUCAGAGCGGGUUCAGUGUGACAGAAGUGGCCACGAUGAAGCUGGGGGUGGGCAUUGUGAUGGCCUGCGCGCUGUCCUGCUGCAUCCUGCUGGGGACGCUGUAUUUCCGGCGCACGCAGGCCGGCGGGCUCCGCAGCAGGGUGCUGCAGCUGCAGGACGAGCUCCAGAUGAGCCAGGAGUUCUCCCAGGAGGUGCUGCGGGAGCUGAGCACGGCCACCGAGAGAAAGAACAGGAUGCAGAGGAGCCUGAAGGAGCUGGAGAGCCAGGUGUCCACCUGGGAGAAGGAGCUGGAGGAGAGACGCAGGCAGACAGGGACCUGCCAGCAGGAGCAGAAAGACGCAGACGAGCAGCUGAAGUCUUCAGAGAAGGAACUGCAAGACGCCAAGAGUGAGAGACUGCUCCUCUGUACCUCCAUGUAGACACAAAGCCCACACCCAGGCACGCACCAGCAAGGAGGCAGUCA